CACAGCACCAACUAAAAUUGCUGUUUUGGAAAAAGGUCAACUUUCACCAACUAAAAGAAGGUCCAAGGGCCUGAAACUUUCCCCAGAACAACCUACCACAGAGCUGACAAAGACCAAGGAAGAGCCUGACCGUCACAAACCAUCUUCAACUCCAGAGGUGGUCAGAGCACCAACUGAAAUAACUGUUGUGGAAAAAGGAAAGCUUUCCCCAACCAAAAGCCAGGAGCUGACAAAGGAAGAACCUGCCAGUCAGAAGCCAUCUUCAACUCCAGAGGGGGUCACAGCACCAACUAAAAUUGCUGUUUUGGAAAAAGGUCAACUUUCACCAACUAAAAGAAGGUCCAAGGGCCUGAAACUUUCCCCAGAACAACCUACCACAGAGCUGACAAAGACCAAGGAAGAGCCUGACCGUCACAAACCAUCUUCAACUCCAGAGGUGGUCAAAGCACCAACUGAAAUAACUGUUGUGGAAAAAGGAAAUCUUUCACCAACCAAAAGUCAAUCAAAGGGUCAGGAGUUGGCAAAGACAAAGGAAGUGCCUGCCAGUCAGAAGACCUCUUCAACUCCAGAGGUGGUCAGAGCACCAACUGAAAUAACUGUUGUGGAAAAAGGAAAGCUUUCCCCAACCAAAAGCCAGGAGCUGACAAAGACAAAGGAAGAACCUGCCAGUCAGAAGCCAUCUUCAACUCCAGAGGGGGUCACAGCACCAACUGAAAUUGCUGUUGUGGAAAAAGGUCAACUUUCAGCAACUAAAAGAAGGUCCAAGGGCCUGAAACUUUCCCCAGAACAACCUACCACAGAGCUGACAAAGACCAAGGAAGAGCCUGACCAUCAUAAACCAUCUUCAACUCCAAAGGUGGUCACAGCACCAAUCAAAAUUGCUGUUGUGGAUAAAGACAAUUUUUCACCAACCAAAAGUCAGUUGAAGGGUCAGGAGCUGACAAAGACUAAGGAAGAGUCUGCCGAUCAGAAGCCAUCCUCAACUCCAGAGGUGGUCACAGCAACCACUAAAAUUACUGUUGUGGAAAAAGGUCAACUUUCACCAACCAAAAGUCAAUCAAAGGGUCAUGAGCUGACAAAGACAAAGGAAGUGCCUGCCAGUCAGAAGCCAUCCUUCAACUCCAGAGGUGGUCACAGCACCAACUGAAAUUGCUGUUGUGGAAAAAGGUCAACUUUCAGCAACUAAAAGAAGGUCCAAGGGCCUGAAACUUUCCCCAGAACAAUCUACCACAGAGCUGACAAAGACCAAGGAAGAGCCUGACCGUCACAAACCAUCUUCAACUCCAGAGGUAGUCACAGCAUCAACUAAAAUUACUGUUGUGGAAAAAGGAAAUCUUUCACCAACCAAAAGUCAAUCAAAGGGUCAGGAGUUGGCAAAGACAAAGGAAGUGCCUGCCAGUCAGAAGCCGUCUUCAACUCCAGAGGUGGUCACAGCACCAACUGAGAUAACUGUUGUGGAAAAAGGUCAACUUUCACCAACUAAAAGAAAGUCAAAGGGUUUUAAACUUUCCCCAGAACAAGCUACCACAGAGCUGACAAAGACCAAGGAAGAGCCUGACCGUCAUAAAUCAUCUUCAACUCCAGAGGUGGUCACAGCACCAACUGAAAUUGUUGUUGUUGAAAAAGAUCAACUUUCACCAACGAAAAAAAAGGGCCUGACACUUUACC
rnacentral:lncRNA from 1 species